CCUGACCUCAGGUGAUCCACCCACCUUGGCCUCCCAAAGUGCUGGGAUUACAGGCGUGAGCCACCAUGCUGGCCAAGUCACCUGGUUCUUGAGGGGCUGAAGGCCACUUGACUAUUCUGAAUUCCACAAUCCAUCAGACCCUCCUGGCUUCCAUUACACCCUCUGUGGGAGUCAGCAACCCCAGGAACUGAAGUUCCAGCCUGACCUCUCUCUAGGACUUGGACCUGGAUUUGAUGCCACCCAGUGAACACUUCCCUCCUAUCCCCUACCCUUUCCAGCUUCAUAUCCAUCCAGCUGCUUGGGCCCGUGACCUCAGGGUAACCUCUGACUCUACCCCUGUACCCACAGCCAACUAAGUCCUACUGAGGCCAGUCCAUUCUCUCCAUCUUCCCUGUCACCUAUUGAUGGCAGCAAUGGCCCAUCUGGAGUGGCCGCUGCAAGGAUGCCGACUGGAGCAGAGGAAGUGUGGCCGGGACCUCUGUUUUCCCAUAGAACUAUGCAGAGCCUAUGGGAACUGGGAACAGCCCAUAAAAACCCUGGAUUCAGCCAGACUUGGACAGAUGUCAAUACUACCAACUGUGGGAAGAAGCUACCCACUUCAGGACUCCUUGACUCCUCAGGAUGACCUGCCUACAGAAAGAAGCUACCCACUAUGGGUCUUCUCUCUGCUGAGAGCUGGAUACUCGUCAGGAUGACCUGCCUGCAGAAAGAGCUACCCACCAUGGGUCUCCUCUGAACUGUUCUGUUGCCCAAUAAAGCUCCUCUCCUUUUUGCUCACCCUCCA
rnacentral:lncRNA from 1 species